rnacentral:lncRNA from 1 species
CUGCCAAUGAUGUUAACAACAUUGUCAUAUUGACACUUUAUUCUGGCAAAAGAUAUGUACAGGAGGCCAUUAAUUUUGAAUAUACUCUCAAAUCUCGAGUGAUCGAGAAUGCGGAUAUUGGAGGCUUGGAAACUAAUUUAGUUCGAAUCUUGACAUUUAGUUUUUUCUUUUUAUAUUUUUAACAAAUUGGAUUAUGUACUUACUAAACACAAGUUGUAUUGCAUAAUGUGUUGCCUAAUUCAUGGCAUUUGAUAAACUUUUGGGAAGACAAUCUAGCUGUUGUACUAACUAUUAUUCUUGAAUACAACCAAUUUAUUGAUAUGCAUAAGAAUUAAUCUUGUAUACACUGACAGUGUAUACACUUUCACCAUUGGAUGCAUGACACAUAAUCUGAAUUUGAUUUUGAAACCCAAAUUUUGUACAUGUGUCAUGUAUCCAAUCGUGAUAGUGUAUAUACUGUCAGUGUACAAUCAUACUUUAUUAAGCACUGUACAAUAUAUUUUCAUGGACAAAUUACAUCGCUGCUAAAUAAUGUCAAUCACAAAGCAAUCCUAGGCAUUAACUCCAUACUGCGCAUUUGCACGGUGAUCCAUUCCUGGUCAAAUAUAUAACGGUUUUGAAGUUGGAGUUAGCAUGAUUGCAUUCAUAUCCAUUCUCCUCUCCAGGUGCAUGGUGAUUGUCUAUUUGAUUAAUUGAAACCAGUAUUCUCGAAGUUGUUUUACAUUUGGAUGCUCUGCAUUUGUAUUUGAGAGACAGAGCUUUGGUUGGUGUCUUGACAGAGGUGCUGGGUAAGGAAUACGAAGAUUGUCCAGUAUCUAGAUCCUCAAAGCCUUCUUGUCGAGCCUAUCCAGGUACUCUUUGUACAAAGAAUUUGGAUCUGAAUUGCAAAGUAUUAUUGCUGAUAUACUCCCUUUAUUUGGACUGGCUUCUCGUAUUUACAAUUUGAUACCUAUUCCUUUGAGCUUUAUUGAACUCUAUGUAGCAUUUGAGGUAUUAGGAUUACACAUCAUCAAUGACGUUAUAACAGACCUUCCAAACAAUAGAAAAAGAAGUAGAAUAAUCCACACACGAACAGCAAGAGUAGAUAAAGGAGCUGAAGCUGCUAGAGCUAGGAGCUGCUGGCCUUGCUUGUGUCCGGUUUUCAAUCGUCGGACGCAAGAGUAUAUGCCUGGAGUCCAGUAGCCCUAUAGGGCAAUCACCUUUCAAGAAAGGAACGUUACCCCCCUAGCGUUGCUUUCCCCCCUCAUAGCUGUAGUAGACCGUAUAAUUUAAGUCCAGAUACCCACAUAAAUAAUUGUAUAGGCCUAAGGUUCGGACCCAUUUGAUUUUUCUUAUUCUAGAUGGGCCCUCAAUAAUAAUAGACAAUAGCCUACUGAGCCUAAUGUCAAUGGGCCUCACAUUUAAUUCAACCUAUUCGAGCAAUUCAGCUAAAACAUUGUCAAGUAAAAAAAAAGGGCUUUUGUAAUACUGAGGAUGCAAUGCAAAUAACCUAUCGACAUUUGCCUUAAUCCUAUCAUAAUACAGGCAGUACAACUUGGGAUUGCCUUCUUUAAUAAUAUCCAUGAAGUCAUUCAUGUUUGACUGAAGAAGUGCAUCGUCGUAGCAUUCCUUUUGGAUCUUAUACACCCUACCUGUGUUGAUAGUUCCCCAUUUGCAAUAGUCUCCUUAUUUUGACAUAUAAUCUCGUAUAAUCUUUGCUUCCUUAGCAGCCUAAACAUUGGAUGAUACACUUCGGAAGUGUAUUCAUGGCCUAGGUCAAAAUAACGUGGAUUACGCGUCUAGAAUCGGUCACUAAAUUGCAAUAAAACCAUGUAAAUGGGGUAUCCUGUCUUCGUGCAAUUCUAAUGCUACUAAUAUGUAGGUAUUUUAGUUGUAAAUUUAUUUAGGAUUUUCUGAAGAUAUGAUUCUUUGAGUAUGGAGCAUCUGGAAUAUGUUAUAAAGAUGUUCUUGGCACUUAUUUUGAAUAUUAUUUUGAGAUGGCAUUUUGAAAAACAAAAAGAUAACUAAAUUGUGGAAGAGUUUAAGAAAAAUAAUUAAUCAAGUACUAAACAAGUUCAUAAAAGAAUUGGCUCAAGUAUGAAUAUUUAUAGGCAUUUCGAAUGAAUGACAUUUUGAUAAACAAGAGCUCACACUAGGUUAUAGGACUUAACACUUAGCUAUAGGAGUAUUCACACCCCUCAUCUUCUGUCUAUUGAUGGCAUUAGUGUUAGUUUUACUAUUCAAGAGCCUUUUAUAUAAGAUUCCUAAUAGGGCUAAUUGAUUAGAAUAUAGGUGUAAAAAAGAAAAGUCAGACACUUGCGGAUCUGACAGAGUCCAUGUAUAAAACUAUGGGUACUGGGCUGAGACAGCCCGGCACCUGACAGAAACUUUUUUUUUUAAAACAUGUCAGGUGCCGGGCUGUCUCAGCCCGGCACCUGACAUCCAAUUGAGUGAAUUGCAAUUCAUCCAAUUGAGUCAAUUGAGUGAAUUGCAAUUCACUUUAUUUGUUAAGCUAGUUGAUAAAUGCAAUUCACUUUAAUUAGUUUAGUGGAUUAAUUAGUUUAAUUAAUUGAGUGAAGUAAUUUUAAGAGAUUCGAUUAUAUGCAUUUAAUUAAGGUGAUGGUUUAAUUUGUUAUUUAUUAAAUAUUCAUUUAUUUGUUAUAAAUUAUUUAAUUAUAAUGCAUUAUUUGUUGUUAUUUGUUAUUAUUUGUUGUUAUUUAAUUACACUUUAUUUGUUGUUAUUUGUUAUACUAUUUGUUAUUUAAUUACACUUUAGUUGUUGUUAUUUGUUAUAUUAUUUUUUAAUAUUUCUUAUAAUUAUAGAAUCGCAAUUAUUUAUUUAUUUGUUAUAAAUUAUAUAUAUUUGAUUCAAUUAAUUAAUUAUUCAAAUAAGCAUAUUAAUGAGGUUCUAAAAUGCUAUCAACACUCGUCUCUAAUAGGUAUAACAUGUCAAGUGAUAAUUGCUUGGUGAUUCAAGUAUAUUGGGGUGGAAAAAUUAUAAACGAAGGAGGGUCAAUUUCAUAUGAUCCUUCUAUACCGAAACAAGUGUUGUUCCUUACAGAGAUGGUAGGUUAUGAUGAUUUGGUAGACAAAAUAUAUAAUCUUUUGGGUUUAGAUCGAAAUCUUCUGGGUAGACAAAAUAUACAAUCUUCAUUACAUGUUUGCUAAAUAUCAAAUAUUAUAAUAUGGGAAUUUAGCCUUUUAUUAUUUGAAUGCUUAUCGUUAUUUUUAUAUUUAGCCAUUUCACCGUUGUCACGCUAUGCAUUUUUUCCUCUUUUUUUGGUCCUUUUUUUAUAUAUUGCACAAUAAAUUUAGUUUUAUAAAAUUAUAGUGAACAUUAAAAAUUACAUAAAAAUUCUAACAAAUUAUUUCUCAACAAUUUGAGAACUACAUCUUAUUACAGAAUGAAUGGUAUAUUUCGUUUGAAAAACAGUUUCGUAGUUUAACAUCCUAUAGGAGUAAUUAGUGAUUUUGCACAAAUCUAUUUUCUUCUUUUUCUUACGUUUCAACUUUGAAAUGUAAAUUAAUUAACUUAAAUUUCAAAGUAUUUAGUACUUCAGGUCGACUCAACUUUUUAUUAAACCUUUUUUUCUUGUUUUGGUUUUUGAUUUUUUUUUUGUAUGGGAGAUUUAUGAAAUUAUCCUCACAAUACAAACUACGAAAAAAAUUCAGAACUUAAAUAGAUGUUCUAUUAGUAUGCAUUAUGUUCAAUUGGUAAAAUGCAAAAAUUUAAUAUAAGUACCAACACGAGAAUGAAUACAAAAUCUAAAAUGUUUAGGGUUUAGGGUUAGGGUUUAGGGUUUUGGGUUUAGGGUUCAAGGUUCAGGGUUUAGGGUUUAGGGUUUUGAUCUUUAGGGUUUAGGGUUUUAGGGUUUAGGCUUUAGGCUUUAGGGAUUAGGGAUUAGGGUUUUUAGGUUUAGGGUUUAGGGUUUAGGGUUUUGAUCUUUUGCAUGAUGCAACGUGUCACAAAUUGCGAUUGAUAAUUACUAAUCAUAUCACAAUUUCAGCCUUACGAUAUUUUCUUGAGAAUAAAAUGAGAAGCUAUAAAUGAAAGAGGAAAAUUCAAAAUUAAAAGAAUAUGAAUACUAGAUAAUUGUAUUUCAAGUCAACUGAUUUGAAUUCUACUGGGAAAGUUUCACUAAGAAUUUUUUGUUACUCGACACAUUUUGUUUGGUAGACUUAUUAAUUUUUUUUUUUUUUUCAGAAAAAUUCGGUUAGGUACCGGGCUGACACAGUCCGACACCUGAUAGAUUUUUUAAAAAAAAAUUCCUGUCAGGUACGAUUCUAUAAUUAUAAGAAAUAAUAACAAAUAAUAUAACAAAUAACAACAAAUAAAGGGUAAUUAAAUAACCACGAAUAAUAACAAAAGUAUAACAAAUAACAACAAAUAAAGUGUAAUUAAAUAACAACAAAUAAUGCAUUAUAAUUAAAUAAUUAAAUCAUUUAUAACAAAUAAAUGAAUAUUUAAUAAAUAACAAAUUAAACCUAAUUCAUCACCUUAAUUAAAUGCAUUUAAUCGAAUCUCUUAAAAUUAAUUCACUCAAUUAAUUAAACUAAUUAAUUCACUAAACUAAUUAAAGUGAAUUGCAUUUAUCAACUAGCUUAACAAAUAAAGUGAAUUGCAAUUCACUCAAUUGAGUGAAUGUGAAUUUCACAUUCACACAGCCCGGCACUUGACAUCUUUUUUUAAAAAAAAAUGUGUCAGGAGCCGGAUAGCCCGGCACCUGACAUGUUUAAAAAAAAAAAAAAGGUUUCUGUCAGGUGCCGGGCUACCAUAGUUUUAUACACACGCUCCAUCAGAUCCGUAAGUGUCUGACUUUUCUUUUUUACACCUAUAUUCUAAUCAAUUAGCCUCCUAAUAGGGCCGUGUUAGUGGGCUCUAACUUUGUCAGCCAAUGUGGCAUUAUUUUAUUGGCUAUGAGGAUUUUAUCUUUCCCAGGCACUUCAAUGGAAUCCACGUGAUGUCAUCUUAUUGGCCAAAAGACUAUAAGGGACUCAGAGUUGUUGAAAAUUUAAAAAAGCUUUACUUUUUUUUUUGUUGGAUACAACAUCCUUUCAUAAAUGCUGAGUAUGCUGCACUUUAAAAUUAUCCAUAAAGUUGAGUGAAAAAAUUAUUCAAUAAUUUUCUUUGUGGGAAUCAUUUCUUAUAGUAUAUCCACACGUUUGUCUAGUUGUUUAAUUAAAUUCAUAAUUAAUUAUAACAAAUAAUUUCUCAUUGUUACUAUGAUAUAUAAGUUGAAUUAAAAGGGAAUUUGAAACAGAAUUGUUAGUAGUUAGUUGAGUAUGGCUCUUGGAAAAUUGGACAUUAGAAUUUUAGAUAAUCAUCAAUGGGAUGAAAUGCGUAUCUGACAAUAAUUAUGCCAGAUUAGUUGGUUAUGUGUUUAAUUAGGGAGUCCACUGCUAUUUAAAUUCAUAAUUAUAUAUUAUUUGAACAUGAUCUGGAAUUGACUUCGGCAAAAAAUACUCUAAUUGAUUUCACAUUUGAAUUCUUCUAAAGUUAACAUAUUUGAAUCGGUGCAUUGUAACUUACUCAUUAGUGAAGCUCAAGUCAAGGAGGGUAGGCCCUUUUUAUCUUCUGCUUCUGCAAAAUCCUAAGUAUUAGUAGUUUACACAACUCAAAUACUGUUCAAAAUAAAUAGGAAAAAGGAACGACUUAUGACUUAAUCGCUAGAAACAUGAAGUUUGUGUCUAACCCAAUAACAAAAGUUUCGUAAGAAACUAGAGUGCUCCAGAUGUGAUGCAUGAUCUGGAUUUCAACCUUCUUGAUCACAACUGUAAUUCGUCCAUGUCAACCUUGGACCUGAGAAUCCCAAUUUAAUCAAGGCCCUGUUUGGAACUGAGUUUUUUACCUAAGUUUUUUAGCUACUAGUUUUUUAAUAACUUUUGCUACAGGAACCCCAAAAAACUUCUCAAAGUUUUUUACCUACACACUCCAAAAAAUCUAAUACACAAAAAAUUUCCCAAAAACUUUUCUUCUUUUUCCUCCCUCACCCACCACGCCAGCCACCACCUCUCCCGGCGCCGGUCACCUCAAAAUUAUUUUUUUCUGUCCCUCACCCUCACCCCCUCUCCUCCCCCGCCACCCUCCCCCUCCUGCAAGGUGCGAUCUAGUCUCGCGACCAGAUCGCAAAAGGAGAGGGGGAGGGUGGCGGAGGAGGGAGAGGGGAAGAGGGGAGGGGUGGCAGGCCUAAGAAAAAAAGCUAAAAAAAAUUAAUGGUCCAUGGCCGGCCUUCCUCUGUCGUCGGAGUGCGAGGGAGAGGGGAGAGAGAGAGGGGAGGAAAGGGGUGGCGGUGGAGGGAGAGGGAGGGGUGGCGGGUAGAGAGGGUUAGCGGGGGAGAGGGGAGGAAAGGGAUGGUGGGCAGAGGGGGUGGUGGGGGAGGGAAAGAGAGGGGUAGCUGACCUAGGGGGAUGGCGGGCAGAGGAGAGAGGAAAGGGAUGGUGGAAAAGUUUGGGGGUGGCGAGGCAGAGGUAACGGGGAAGGGGGAGGGGGAAGGAAGAAAAAGAAGAAGAAGAAGAGAGGAAAGAAGAGAAAAAGGAAAGAAAAAGAGAAAAAGAAAAGGGAAAAAAUGUUUUUCACCUUACAAAAACUUCUAUAAAAUUUUUUACAUCACAAAAACUUCUACAAAAAAGUUUUUCACCUUACAAAAACUUUUACAAAAUUUUUUCAAAAACUUCUACAGUGCACUACAGUAAAGUUUUAGACAAACUCCUAAAAAACUUAGGUUCCAAACAGACCCCAAGUUUCAUUGGUCAAAGUCCUACAAAUGAAGACUUGGACCUAUCAAGCCUGUCUCACUAGCUCUAUGUAAACCACUUUCAGGCGAGGCAAGUCCACUUGAAGACCCCCCUUGCUUCUUUUUUUUUGGCAAAAAUCCCCAAACCGAGGGAGGGGGUGCCAACCCCAAUUUUAUUGGAGAAAAAAACAAAAUAAGAGUGCCAACAACACAAUUGUCAACAAGACAGCAUGCGUAAAAGAAACUAAAGGACCUAUUCCCUUACAAUCUGACGACAAAUACACGGGAAUUUGUCCUUGUCUAAAACUAAAGAUGCCCUGACUAAAGACGACAGCUAAUGAGGAGAAUUGUGCAAAACAUCUUCAUUGAGUUGCAAGCCCACUAGCUUAUCCGCAGUAACAUUUAUCUCUCAAUAAACAUGAACAACUGAGGCAUCCAACUCUUGUAAGAGCCCCCUAAUCCUUCACAGAACAUUACAUAAUGGCCAUUUGGUAAGCGCUCCGGAACAAACCAUGCGAACCAGGACUUCGUAAUCCAUCUCCAUCAACAAAUGAUUACAAUCCCUAUCUUGGCAAAGUAACAGACCAUGCAUCAGUGAGAGACUUUCAGCUAUCAACACAUCAACAUCUCCAAAUUCUUUAUAGAAAGUAAAAAUGAGCUCGCCAUUAUGAUCUCUUAGAAUAACCCCCUCCCCCCGCUCUUUUUCCAACUGGCAUAUUAGUGUCUGUGUUCAGUUUGACAUGAAAUUGAGGGAGAUGAAGCCAUUUCACUGCUAUAACUGAAUGAUGAUAACGCCGAGAGGAUGCAAAGCCAGCCCAAUGAUCAUCCAUGUCCCACGAAAAUGACUUGCAGAGAAAAUCCUGGCAGCCCCCAGUUGUUCAAUAAAAUGAUUAACUCUAGCAAUCACCUCAUGAACAUUAAACCUAACUCCCUCAAAUCUUGCACGAUUGCAUAUUUAGAGGAGCAAAAGUGCUAAAUAACUUGCUCAAAAUAAUAGCAUCAAAUAGCUAAGAAAUUAACACAAUACAAUCAUAAAAAGUUCAACCAAAACCAAAGGCAUAAACUUUAGAAACAUGUAUUGAAACACAAAUCCAAACUUAUAUAAUAACAAAUUAUGAAAUCAAAUACAAGAGAGAAAGUAGUAGAAGAGAUAUCACCAUUGUCACAUGAGAUCAACCUCUCCAUCUUGCUCCUUAAACUUCAUCCAAGUUUAGCUACAACUACAAGAAAGAUAAACUACACUAAUUAUACUAAUUUACCCUAACUAAUGAACUAAGGAAAUUCUAGUGAAGACUGCAUUUUUGUGGAGUUUCUCUAGCCUCCCAAAGUUAUGAAAAUUUUCUCCAAAGCCUCUAUUUAUAGAGGAAUCCAAGAUACAAAUAAGAUGUUAAAGUUGAUGUGAAAUGUUCCUUGAGAUUCUCAAAAGAUGCAUCUACAAGUCUCCAUGUAUUUCUUUUACAGAUGCAGCCGAAAUUCUAAGUUGGGAAUAGCUGAAAAAGUUGUAUGAAUGUAGAACAAGUUGAUAUGCAAGUUGUAGAAAAACAAGGGAGAAUACGCAGGCUUUGAAUACGCUAGCUUAUGCCAUGUAUUCAGAGCUCACGUUUUCACUUCUGCGAGUUUAGAACCACUUUAACUGAUAUUUUCUUGAUGGUGGAGGCUGAACUAACUCUUUUCCAAAACAUGAAAGUUUUAGGCCUUUGAGUUAGCUUUCCAAUGUCUCAAGAAUCAUCCAAUUUGGAGCUCUUUAGACUGAGAAAUACCAAAAAACUCUCGACUGGUCAAUCCCCUAUUUCACCUUUUGGCAACAAAUAUGACCCACUAUAUUUCGACUUCUUGACUUAAAAAACUCAUGAAGUGGAUAUCAAUGUCUCAUAAGAAAUGUAGAGUUAUGUGUUAGUUUUAAAAUGGCACAAGAAUCACUUCAAUCCGAUGCUUGUAUCUCAAGAUAUAGCCAAAAUACCAAAAAGUGUAAAAGCUAUCUUAAUUUGUAUUUCAUCCUUUGAAUAUUUUGCACUUCAUGUCUUCUUUAAAUCACUUCAAAUCAUCAACAAUCAUCCAAAUAUCUUCUCAAUUCACUCCAUUUGAUGAUUGAAUCAUUAAACUUACAAAAACAUGAAGUUUUCACCAUUAAAAUUCAUAGAAAGACAAUUUUUGAUAGUUUUCACUUUAAGGUGGUAUGAUAUCUUUUAAUUGGUCAACUUUAGGAAAUAUUGCUAUUUGAUUGCUUCAAUAUGGUAAGUAUAUAAUUGCACUCCUUUCACUGUUCACGAAUCGUUUCCUCACUUGUCAAUUGUUUUUGGUUAAAUAAAACUAGAAAUGCAUGAAAAAUAAAGAGUUGGGUGUAAAUAUCGUGAAAUCCUACCAUUUUUGGUGUUUUUCACAAACAACCAUCAAAGGAUAGUUAUUUUUAUCAAAUAUAUGGUCUAAAAUAUGUUUUUUUUAAUUUGUAUUACAAUGAUAUACUAUAUUUUUCACAACCAUCUAUCAAAGGAUAGUUAUUUAAUCAAAUAGUUGGUCUAAAAAAUUUUCUAAAACAGUCUUGAAGGCAAUCAUCUAAAUACAGCUCUAUUGAUUUAAAUUCGUAUAUUAAUUUUUUAAAAUGCACUUUUUGAUGUAAAAUUGUUGUAUAAAAUUUAUCCAUAUGCUUGCCCACUAUCAAUAUGGAAUUUAUUCUAAGUGCAAAUGAAAUGUCUAAACUAUAGUUUACAUACAACAUAUUUAAUGUCAGAGUAUAAAGUCCAACAUUAAAAAUAUUAAACAUUUGAAAAGAAACAUAUUAAAUAGGGAUAAUUUUCGAAACCUCCCCUGAGGUUUUUGACUAUUGUAGAAAGCUCUUUUCUAGUCUAAAAAAUUACAUUUUGCCUCCCAUAUGAUUAACAUUUCAAUAACAAUAUAAACCCAAUAUGCUAACUUUCUCCUCAAAAAUCCUAAAAUACCCCUUUGUUACUUAGAAGGGGGAAAAACAAACUAAUAAAAUUCUUUCACGUUGCAACUAUUGUAAACGACAUAAUCAUCAACCUAACGAACUCAAUAAACCACUUUACCUUAAUCUCCAUAUUCUUACAAUUUUGACAGCCUACUAUUGCCGCCUCAAAGCUUCUCAUGCAAAUCAACUGUGACAAUUAAAGUUUGCAGUCAACCUAAUAUUUAGCCUCUUUUUUUUGCCUAAAUUCAAUGUUUGAAUUGACCAAUGUCACUAUUCAACCUUGUUGUUAGUAAAAUAAUGUAACCUACCAAGAAUACUAACACGGAGCAACCAAAAGUAAUACUAGAGACCACAUUCCAUGUCUCUAGGCAAAUUUGAUUAUAGUAUUUAUAUCUCAAAAUUCUUUUUUACACAAUUGGUAUAAUAUUGUAACCUUCUUUAAUCCAUAUUUCCUUUUUAGCUAUCAUUUUUAUUUUCUUGUAUGUACUCUGUAUCACCGCUAUCUUUUUCACCUUCAUUUAGUUUGACAACAAAUAUGAUCCAGCAACUUGCCAUUCUGUAAUUUCAAUUCCAUAAUACUUAUAAAAAAGAAAACAAAAAUGAGAGAGUGUGUAUAUUUGCGAAAAAAGAGAUGUAGGAGAAAGAAGGAAGGAGAAAAAGUUGGGAGAUAGAACAAGAGUUUAGUUUGUGUGGCAAUAGUUGCUUUAGAAUAAAAGACGAAUUGUAAUUGUAGAGUUUUUUUGUUUGUAGAAAUUAUUUAUAGUGAAGGAUAUUAUAGUCAUUUUACUACAUAAAGGGAGGUUAGUAUAACUAUUCAAACUUGAAGGGAGGUGAGUGAAAUUAUCAGAAACCUUAGGGGAGGUUUCUGAAAUUAUCCCUAUUAAAUAAAGUCCAACAUUAAAAAUAUAAAACUUAGAAAAGAACAAACCUACUAAAGUGCCCUAAGCACACUAAAUACCAAAAAAAAUUAAAAGAAGCAAACAAAUUUCUUUAAUUAGUAUAUAGUAGUGUUACUGGAUGCCAUUGUUCAUCAUCAAACAAUAUGUAUGAAAUUUCAAAUUCUAUUGAAAUUUGAAUUAUAAUAACACAUUCCAUGAGUCAAGAAGUUUUUUUAAGGAGGAAAAAUAUAUUUACAUACUUGAACCAAAACUACCAAAAAGAAGAUUUGGAAUAUUAUUGUUUCUGUGUUGAUUUGAUUGUUGGUUUUACUUUUCCUAAUCUAUGACAUUGCCUUUAUUUUUAGUUUUGCCAACAUAAAUAAUUUGGAAUAUUGUCAUUUCCCUUUAGUUACGGUCUUUUAUGUAAUUUUUGAAUUAUAGUUAUUUGUAAGUUUGGUAAGUUUUUAAUUUAAGGUAGUAUGUUAGAAUUGUUUUUAAUUGGUCAGCUUUAAGAAAUGCUGCUAUUUGAUAGUUUCAAUAUGGUAAGUAUAUAAUCAAUGCGGGUUGAAUGCCUUACCAAAGUAUGAGCCUAUAGAAUUCCCUUUUUUGUUCUUUUUUGUAAACUCGUAGGUAACCCCGUCUUGGCAUAUUUUCUACCACCUAUUACCAAAUUAAAUUCUCUAUCUUUACUUAUUUCUGUAUUAAAAGACCUUUAGUCUCUUCCAUAACUAACUUCUAAUCUUGAUAUAACAAGGGAUUCUAAUCCCUAGGAUCCUCUUAUUUCAUUUUUAAGCAAUUCUAAUCUAACUUGUAUUUACUUUCAUUUACUUUCUUGCAACCUACUACCUAGAUGGUUGGUUUUACCACCUAAUGGCUGGUUUUAUAUUUAUUUCUUUUGCUAUAUGGCCUGUUGUACCGCCUAACUAACUUCUAACUUUUAUGGCUGGUUGUACCGCCUAAACUAACACCUUUCAUGGCCAAUUUUACUGCCUAAUUAACUUUCUUCAUUUUUACCUCCUUAAAACUUUGAUUGUCUAGAUAAUAAGCAAGUGGUUGAAAUCAAGUGAUUGCCAUUUUUUAAAUCCCCGUGGGAUCGGCACCUAUUAUCCCUAUAUUCAAUAAACAAAUCGUGUACUUGCGGAAAUAGAAUAAUAAGGUUUUAAAAUUUGUGGUGUAGUAAAAGGCCCUACCAUAUCACAUAUAUUUGUAUAUUAAAAUGAUGUUCAAUUCCCUAUAUCGUAGGUUAUUGAGUUGGUUAUUCCCACGUUCUGCUAAGUGGAUGUUCCAUAUUUUUGACAUGUGUACAUAUUCCCCUAAUUUAUUUGGUUAUAUUUAAAUUAUUUUAUUUUUAUUAACAACAACUAAUCCUAUAUUGUUCCAUGUUUUAGGUGUAGUAUUUCUAUUGACAAUGAUUAAUCAUUUACCUUGUUGGGGGGAAGGUGUGACGACUUGAAAAUUUGCUUAUAUUUCUUAUAAUUUCCGCUUAUUUUGAAUAAAUUAUUAUAUAAUUCCUUUACUACUAAUUUUAUUCCCUCAAUAGUUGUAAUAUAUAAUAGAAUCGAGAGUUUUAUUUUUACUUUUAUAGCUAGAGCAAAUUAGGGUUUUUGUGCAUUUUGGUAAUGUGAUCAUUUUGUGAGGUAUGUGUACUAAAUUUGGUGGAUAAGAGUGAGUAUUAGGUAAGAGGAAGUGUGUAAUUAGAAGUGCUAAUGAUAAGUUAGUGAAUCAUAAGUUAAAACACAAGUACGAGAGAGUUAAGGAAAAUAGGCUUGAACCGACGUGCACCGUCUGUUACCGAUUGAGUACACCACUUGACCACUACUUUCUUACCCUAAUCCUCUUGUUUUUAUUUCAUCUAAUCAGGCCUAAAUUAUCCCUAAAGCAGCCGAAAUCCUUGACCAAAGAAAAGGGAGAAAAGAAAAAAAAAAGAAGGAAUCUUGAGUUGCCAAGUGUUGGCAACCAAGAAGAUGUUUGACCAAGCUAAGUCCUUUCUUCUUAUUUUUCAUUUUGGCUCAUUUUCUCUCAUUUUUCUGUCAUGGUAGCCGAACCUUAGGAGUGGAGAAAGAGAGAAGAAACUUUCAAUUUCAACCUUGAUUCUUCAUUGUUUGAGUUGAAUCACAAAAAUCUAAACCGAUUAAACUUGUAUCAAGGGUGUUAGGAAGCUUCGUGUGGUGAAUUUCUUUGGAAAAUUUGCUUGGUUCUUCACUUUUCAAGUAGUUUUGGAAGGUAUAAGUUCAUCCACUUCUUUUCUCUUCCUUAUUCUUGCUAAAUAUGCUAUAGAAGUUUUGAAUCUUGGAAUAUAUUGGAUGAUACUCUAGUUUGGUGUUGAUUAAUGAAUUUUCAGCUAGGGUUUGGAAAUUUUCAGCCUUGAUUAUGUUGUUUAACUAUCAAAUGUUGGUAUUGAACUUGGAUAUAGAAUUUGUGAGGUGAUUAAUGGCAUAAUUGUGACUUUUUAGCAUUAAAAGAUGAAUUUCCAGCUUUGAUGAGAAAAUUCCAGCUUUGGUAGUGGUUGAUUAUUUGCUAGAAAUAAGUUAUAUUUGGAUGGUUUUUAGCCUAGAUGAAGAGCUAUCUUGAUAUGCUUACUUGUGGUGUUUGAAUUGGGUUGAUUUGAGAAAAAACAUGAAACCUUAAAUGGCUGAAAAAAUGGAUAAAUACAAAGGGUAUGCUACCCAAAUUUUCGUUCGAGGGAUAAACGAGUGAACUUGGAACUUGAGCGGUGAUUCGUGGUCGAAUUGAACUUCGGUUGUUUAAAGUCUUCAAAUUUCUUUUAGUAGAAGUAUGUAAGCUGAAUUUUGCCAAAAACUCACACACUUUGUAAGGCGAGAGUAGCGACCACUAUAAAAUACGAUUUUUUAGUUUCUUCCGCCAAAUUGCGAACUUAAACGUUUUAAUCGCUUCUUUAUCGAAACUAAAAGAGCGAGCAUGAAUUUUCUAGAGUUUGAUAAGUAAAAUGAGUACUACUUAAACGAGUUUUAUUUAUUUAAUUUUCUUUAAGAGAAACUCCUAUAUUUUGAACCCUAAUUGAUUUCAAACUAUUAAACAGUAUUUUAUUGCAGAUUUUGACUCCAGCCAAGGAUUUGAACUUGAGCAUGGUUUUGAAAAAUAAUAACUCAUUGGUGAGUGUUUUUAAGUGCAUGAUUGAACUUGAUAUUUGAAAAAAAUACUUGACUUGUUUGGACGGACAAGGGUGUACUUUAUCGCACUUGCCCUAAUGUGAUUUCUUACUGUUUACUGGUUAUUAUUGACUUGAUAUACAUGUGUAUAACUUGAAUACUACCUGGAUCCUCACCCUAUUGGUUAGUCAGUAGAAUCAAGCCAGUAAGGGUUUGGUCGAUGAGACCGGUAAACCAUAGGUACUGUUUAUUGUUUAUUGUUUAUUGUUUAUUGUUUAUUGUAUAAUCCUUUGGAUAUGGUCCACUGGAUUCGGUAUACUCGAGUAUUCCCACCACUCUUAUUUUGGAGUUCGGGCUCGGUAGGGGGUUAAUUGGUGGAUGAAAAUUAGUGUAAAGUGGAGAUCUAUGGUCAUGGUUUUGCUUUUUUAAACGUUGACGGAGUGUCAAUGGGUUCGGAUCAAGUAAUGCAACGGGAAUUUGGCUUUUGAGAGCCACCUGUAUCCUUUUACUUUGAAAUGUUGUAUAUUUAGUCAAUUUGUUACUUGUAGUGUUAUUGUCUCUUUUAUGAACUUGUACGCUCGCUCAUUUUAAGAGUUCAAGUUUUACAUAAUGACUAAUUUGUUACUUGGGUCUGCAUGAAGUUUUGGAACCUCAUUGAACUUUGGCUCACUCUAUUAGUUUUAUUUUCCUUACAGGGGGGUACGAGCAUAGGCGUGAAGCUGGAAAGGCUAGUUUGUCUAGACUUUUAACUUUUGUAAUUCUUCUAGCGCUAGUGCUCAACUAGGGUUAGAAGUACAACUAGAACUUGAAUCUUUUGUUAUAUUCGGAUAUGUAUGAAUGGUUGAGAUAGAAAUGAAUGUACAUGUACGUUCCAAA